AUUGAACGCUGGCGGCAGGCCUAACACAUGCAAGUCGAGCGGAUGAGAGGAGCUUGCUCCUCGAUUCAGCGGCGGACGGGUGAGUAAUGCCUAGGAAUCUGCCCAGUAGUGGGGGACAACGUUUCGAAAGGAACGCUAAUACCGCAUACGUCCUACGGGAGAAAGUGGGGAUCUUCGGACCUCACGCUAUUGGAUGAGCCUAGGUCGGAUUAGCUAGUUGGUAGGGUAAAGGCCUACCAAGGCGACGAUCCGUAACUGGUCUGAGAGGAUGAUAAGUCACACUGGAACUGAGACACGGUCCAGACUCCUACGGGAGGCAGCAGUGGGGAAUAUUGGACAAUGGGCGCAAGCCUGAUCCAGCCAUGCCGCGUGUGUGAAGAAGGCCCUCGGGUCGUAAAGCACUUUAAGUUGGGAGGAAGGGCUUACAGCGAAUACCUGUGAGUUUUGACGUUACCGACAGAAUAAGCACCGGCUAACUUCGUGCCAGCCGCCGCGGUAA
rnacentral:rRNA from 1 species